UACAGAGGUCCCAAGCGUUGUUCGGAUUCACUGGGCGUAAAGGGUGCGCAGGUUGGUUUGGCAAGUUUGACGUGAAAGCCCCGGGCGUUAACCCGGGAAUGGCGUUGAAAACUGCUUGAACUGGAGGGUUGGAGGGGGACGUGGAAUUCUUGGUGUAGCAGUGAAAUGCGUAGAUAUCAAGAGGAACACCAGUGGCGAAGGCGAGUCCCUGGACAAUACCUGACACUGAGGCACGAAAGCCAAGGGAGCAAGCAGG
rnacentral:rRNA from 1 species